rnacentral:rRNA from 1 species
AAUGGGGGAAACCCUGAUGCAGCGAUGCCGCGUGAGUGAAGAAGGCCCUUGGGUUGUAAAACUCUUUCGUCGGGAAGAAAAUGACUGUACCCGAAUAAGAAGGUCCGGCUAACUUCGUGCCAGCAGCCGCGGUAAUACGAAGGGACCUAGCGUAGUUCGGAAUUACUGGGCUUAAAGAGCUCGUAGGUGGUUAAAAAAGUUGAUGGUGAAAUCCCAAGGCUCAACCUUGGAACUGCCAUCAAAACUUUUUAGCUAGAGUGUGAUAGAGGUAAGUGGAAUUUCUAGUGUAGAGGUGAAAUUCGUAGAUAUUAGAAAGAACACCAAAUGCGAAGGCAACUUACUGGGUCACUACUGACACUGAGGAGCGAAAGCAUGGGUAGCGAAGAGGAUU